CCUACGGGAGGCAGCAGUGGGGAAUCUUGCGCAAUGGGCGAAAGCCUGACGCAGCGACGCCGCGUGCGGGAAGAAGGCCUUCGGGUUGUAAACCGCUUUCAGGAGGGACGAAGCCACUCGGGUUAAUAGCCCAGAGGGUGACGGUACCUCCAGAAGAAGCCCCGGCUAACUACGUGCCAGCAGCCGCGGUAAUACGUAGGGGGCAAGCGUUGUCCGGAUUUAUUGGGCGUAAAGAGCGCGUAGGCGGCCAGGUAAGUCCGACGUGAAAUCUGGAGGCUCAACCUCCAGCUGUCGUUGGAAACUACCUGGCUAGAGUCCGGAAGAGGAGAGUGGAAUUCCUGGUGUAGCGGUGAAAUGCGCAGAUAUCAGGAAGAACACCAAUGGCGAAAGCAGCUCUCUGGGACGGUACUGACGCUGAGGCGCGAAAGCGUGGGGAGCG
rnacentral:rRNA from 1 species